GUCCGGCCGAGGGCACGCCUGCCUGGGCGUCA
rnacentral:rRNA from 2 species